rnacentral:tRNA from 1 species
GGAAUCGCCUAUUUCAAAUUAUUGACUUCAAAUCCGGAGUGGGGGGCUAGACCUCUCCCAGGCGGGUUCGAUUCCAUGCACUUCCGCCA